UACGUAGGGGGCAAGCGUUGUCCGGAAUUACUGGGCGUAAAGUGUGCGCAGGCGGCCGAGCAAGUCGAGUGUGAAAGCCCCGGGCUCAACCUGGGAAUGGCAUUUGGGACUGCAAGGCUUGAGUGCGGCAGAGGAGACUGGAAUUCCUGGUGUAGCAGUGAAAUGCGUAGAUAUCAGGAGGAAUACCGAUGGCGAAGGCAGGUCUCUGGGCUGACACUGACGCUCAUGCACGAAAGCGUGGGGAGCAAACAGG
rnacentral:rRNA from 1 species